GUACUGCCAAAGAGUCCCAAAUCAGGACGAAACAGCUGUCCAGUAC
rnacentral:hammerhead_ribozyme from 1 species